rnacentral:misc_RNA from 1 species
ACUUGAGUAACACUGACCUAGUGGCCUACACUCUCGCAACGAAUCACUGCCCGUUAAGUUUAGACAAAAAUCGAUUUACAAUGAAAGUACAAGACGUUCUUAGCUGUAGCUUUCCGUCAUGGUAUGACAAGUUCAAAAAAUGUACCAUUAAGAGCAUUUUACUGCCUUUAACACCAGAGGUCCUGGCCUAUAUGCAAGAUAAUGGGACUCUGGUGCUCCCAGAAGGUUCACAGCCAGAGCCAACCUAUAAGAGGAACACACAAGAGGAAGAAGACACUGAAGACUGGGAUCUGUGUGAGACAUCAGGCUGUGUUGUGCAAGGUCCUAAGUUGGAGGAGUACAGCACAAAGAUCAGAGAUGCCAUCAAGAAGCUUGGAGGAAGUGCCUUUCCUAAACUUAAUUGGAGUUCCCCAAAGGAUGCCACAUGGAUUGCCCUCAACAGUUCUUUAAGAUGUUACACCCCUGGAGAUGUUUAUCUCCUCCUUAAAAGUAGCAACUUUGUCACACAUGACCUCACAACACCCUUCAAGGAUUGUGAUGAUGUAGAUGUAGCAGAUCCCAGUGUUGAUUACUGCUUGGUAUUACGAAGAUGGAUGGAGAUCAACCCUGCUUAUGAGUUUCGCUGCUUUGUGAGGAAUAAAGAACUAGUUGGUAUUUCUCAGCGUGAUAUAAGCCAGGGUUACUCUUGUGUUGGUGGUGAUCAAGUUAAUAUUCGCAAUGACAUUAUCAGCUUCUGGAGAGAAAACAUAGAUGACAGAUUCCCUCUUCAUGACUAUGUGGUUGAUGUGUACCGUCCAGUUAAGGACCAUGUGAUCCUGCUUGACUUCAACCCAUUUGGUGAAACAACUGAUGGUCUUCUGUUUUCUUGGCCUGAACUGAAAGGGUUGGAAGACUUUAGAGAGUGCCUUAGCAGGGUUAUUGGAGAUGAAACUAGUGAGGAACCUGAAGACAACAUCCAGUAUCAUAAUGAGAGGAACGUAACGGACAGCAAUCUACAGUCAUAUUCACCACAAAGGGACAAACUUAUUUGCUCCAGUCUCAUCGAAAAUUCACCAGAAUUUCGGUUCAUAUCAGAUGCUACAGGAGUUCAGCCUAGCCCACAUAAGAAGUAUGGUCUCCCAAUGGAUAUAGUUGACUUAAGCACCAUCCAAGAUCCUAAGAAAUUAAUUGACAUUAUACAAAUGAAAGUGCAGAUUGAAGAUGAUGAUAGUUUAGAAUGAAGAGGAGGUUCCCAGCUGAUCUAAGGAGAAGGAAUAGGUUCUGAUUUCUUGGCCAUAGCUUCCUCUCUGACGUGGCGCUUUUUCUCUUAUUUCUCAUUUGUCUUGUCAUGACAGUUUCGGUAUAGAGCCACAACUUUCGGAAGAAUUUCGUAUGAAUCCACUGAAUGAAAAUAAAAAUCUCUUUUUUCCCUUUCUGGUUUAUUUUUGUAUUUUGAGUAUGUUCCCAAAAUGGGAACGUUGGACACUUCCGGAGUACAUUCAUGAUAUUAUCAUAUAUAUAUAUAUAUAUAUAUAUAUAUAUAUAUAUAUAUAUAUAUAUAUAUAUAUAUAUAUAUAUAUAUAUUCCACCACCAUUUCUUGGAGCGUAGUCUUGGCCUGUAGGUUGACAGCAUCUGGUCACAAACAUCUACACCACCCAUUCCUUUGUUAUACAUUUUUAUCAUAUGUGGCUGGUUUAUUGCCUUCCUUCCUUCAUUUUUUACCCAUCUGUUUACUUUUUGCAUAGGACUGACUCCAUAGUAGUUGCUAGCUACUGUAACAAUGCUGUUAUCAUUCCAUCUUGAACAUAGGACGGAAUCAUCCGAUCUGUAGUCGUAUGAACCUCUUUCUUUUUUUUCAAGUUCUUUCUUUGAUAGAAGAGGGCACUUUCCUGUGCGGUUAUCUCUGAUUGUUCCACAGGCUCUAAACCCAUUGCUUGUAAGGUCAAUCAUCAAUGCGUGACUGGUGAAAAAGUUGUCAAAAAAUACAACAUGUUCAUCUUUAUUCACCACUGGCUGUAGCAUGUCCAUGACAACUUGAUAGCCUAAAAGCUCCUUCUUGCUUUUAUCUUUUCCACAAUAAAUAGAAAAGUUAUAAGGAUAACCGUCAGCACUGCACAUCAUCCACAUCUUGUAACCAAACCUAACAGGUUUGUUUCUGAUGAACUGUUUGGCGCUGUGGUGUCCGCGGUACGGGAUCAUUGAUUCGUCAAUGCUGAGAAAUUCAUGAAAAAUUCCAUGUUUUUGACAAUUAUUUCUCAGCAUGUGAAGGAGGGGCAGAAUCUUGGCCACCUUUGAAUUUUCCAAAUUGUUAUUAUCAGCCACAUGAAAGUACCUCUUGAUGGAUUUGAACCUUUCUCUGCACAUAGUCUUGGCGAAUAUUGGUAUUUCCAAGUCUUCGCUUGAUGACCAGUAGUCAUUUUCAGAGGGAACACUGUGAUAUCCACUGAUCAAGAGAAGUCCCAAAAACUUCAUCAUGUCAUUCUCAUCAACACAGAAGUCUUUGUUGUUUUUGUCUCGAUGAGCAUACAAAUUUGUUUGUUCUGUUAGGUGACUUAUGAUUUCAUCUGUGAAGAAAAGUUUGAAAAUUUCAAACAUUUCCUUUCCUAAAUGCACAUCAGCAACACUUGGAGGAAUUGAGUGAGGACCAAACGAGACAUUUUCCUUUUUACGUUGAUGAGUAAAUAAGGGUAGGCAGACUACGGAUGUGUCCAGCGUUCCCAUUUUGGGAACAUCAUACAAAAACACUUAUAGCGACAUAAUUAUAAUAUAAAUCACAUUUAUUGAAAUGUAUAAGAUAAGAAGGAGUACUUAGACAUUACACCAUGUAAAUAAAUAGCUCAAGGAGAAUUUUUUUUAUUGAGAGAAAAUGUUUAUUUCGAGUAGUCAUUUUUACAUCAAAUUCCUUCAGAACAUACCACAAAAAGUAACAUGGGUAUUACAGAGUAUUGGAAUCUUUUUAUGCAGAAUAGUAAUUUAGAUGUAUAACAAUAUAUCUGCUAUGAAAUAAAUUAGAAUAUUAUGUUAAUAAUCACGGGAGAAUAUUUGAAAGUUAUGUUCCCAAAAUGGGAACGUUAGACACUAAAGGGAGCUAAUCAUUUUAUAUUUUUACUUUCUGUAAACAUUUAGCCGAUAUAUGUGGAUGCCAUUAUGUAUGAUUUUUAAUAAAGGUUUUAUAAGUUA